UGGGGAAUUUUGUGCAAUGGGCGAAAGCCUGACACAGCGACACCGCGUGGAUGAAGAAGCCCUUUGGGGUGUAAAAUCCUGUCAGCUGGAACGAAACAAAUGACGGUACCAGCAGAGGAAGCAUCGGCUAACUACGUGCCAGCAGCCGCGGUAAGACGUAGGAUGCGAGCGUUGUCCGGAUUUAUUGGGCGUAAAGAGUUCGUAGGCGGUCUGUUAAGUCUGAUGUUAAAGAUCGGGGCUCAACCCUGGGAGUGCAUUGGAUACUGGCAGACUGGAGUGUGGUAGAGGCUAGUGGAAUUCCCAGUGUAGCGGUGAAAUGCGUAGAUAUUGGGAAGAACACCAGUGGCGUAGGCGACUAGCUGGGCCAUAACUGACGCUGAGGAACGAAAGCCAGGGGAGCGAAUGGGAUUAGAUACCCCCGUAGUCC
rnacentral:rRNA from 1 species